AAGAGAAGAGAAAAGAAAAGAAAAGAAAGCAGCGGUAGCCGGGAGGGAUGAAUUUGGAUAUCAAGAAGUAUUACGAGCUAGGGCUGAAUGAAUUAGGGAUGAAUGAAGCAGAGGCAAAGGCAUAUCGAGCAAGACUAGACGCAACAACACAAGAAAUGUGGCAUGAUAGUGUGCCUGUGGAUCCAUCUGCUAAGUUGGAGAGGAUAGGGAUUAUUUAUUACCACACCCAAGGAGAAGAGAUGAGCUUGGAUAUGCUCUCGUCGAUUGUGAUGAUUUAAGUGAACCUGACCCUGACGAGCUCAUCACCUAUCCUGAUACUACUACAUCUGAAGAUGAAGAAGAAGCUGAUAAGAAGACAACGAAGAAGAAGAUGAUACAGUAAUGCGAUGGAUGAUACAUGAUAGAUGAUGACGAUGAUAUGUUUCUCUUCAACAUCAAGCACCAAACCUUGAGGAGCCAAAGCAGAAUACAUCUUCCCCCACGGCCAUGAGGAGCGACUUGAUUGAAACAUUGGCUGACAAGAAUCUGGAUCUAUCUGCAUCUACUGCUUCUGGGAUGGAUUUCGAUGUUUCCACGUAUGUGCCUGUUCGGAUGAGUGAAGCUCAGUUUAAGGAAUAUCGAGCAGCGGCAUUAGGAAUGUUUCGUCAUGAUAGUGAUCCUAUAUCCAGCUAAUAUGAGGAUGUCACGGCUCAUUUAUAGCCCAGUAACUCAUCAUUAUUGGCUAGAUUCCACAGAGAAAUAGUUGUGGCAAAAGAUGAGGAUGGAUAUGCUUGCCUCGAUUGUUCUGAUUAUUCAGAACCUGAUAAACCUGACAGGCUGUCCCACCUCCUCCAAGAGCUUCUGAAGAUGAAAAGGCUGAUAAGAAGAGGAAGAGGACGAAGAAGAUGAAGAAGAAGAAGAUAGAGGCACCAUGACUGAAGCGGAAGGAAGAUCCACUCUUGAGAAUCUUGUCGAGUCAACCUUCGUUGAGAACCUAGAUCAAUCAACUGCUCCUGUUAACAAUUAAAUCCACCCACUCAGGUUUUGUGUUAUGAGCAUGUAUGAUUGUAUUCUCACCUCUAGGGAUGGCUAUGGCCCAGUUUUAGGUAAUCCCAGUUUGGACACGGUUUUAAAACCAAUAACCAACUGCAACAGCUUAAGAGGAAGGUAUAAUUCCUUACUAUCAGUUUUAGAACUAAAGUGCCAAAUGAACGUAUAUAAUAUAACUAGCGAUUGGUUUCAAAAGAAGUAGUUUAUAGUUUUUGUUUCUA